GGGCCAUUUGAAAAUCCAAAAAUUGAUUUACUUUACGAACAAGUUAAGGAAAUAAUAAAAUUUAGCUGCGAUGGCCUCCCCCCUAAUUUUGAUGGUGAUGUAAUAAACCAUAAUAAUAUUGUCAUCGACUCGAAUACAAAAAAGAACGUAGAAGAAGAAACUGUUGCAAACAUUGACGAUGCAUCAAUAUUGAUUGAGGAUGCAUCAACAUUGAAUGAUUUACCAAUAGAUAUGGAAAACAUUCAAAUACAAAACGAUAUAAAUAUAGUCGGACCGAGUGGCAGCAGAAGAGAACAAUUUAAGACUGCAGUCAGGAAACAUUCGGGAGCGGUUAAGAGGACAGCCAAACCGCCGUCACAAAACCAGGCAGUUAUGCAAUCGUGGGCAAAGGCCCGAAGAGAAUUGGCAGACCUCCAAAAAGACUUAUUAAAAAAGGAAUUCCAGGAGCGGGAAAGCAGAGAAAACAUUUUAUUCGAA